UCUUCCUUAUUUUCUUUUUAUUUAUGUCGCAAAAUUCGUUUUUGUUCUUUCCUUUUCUAGUUUCUCUAUUUCUCUAUAUACAAUAAUGCGAUUGCUUCCUCUUUUUCUGAUUUUCAAUAGGGAAAGAGGUAUUAAUUAGAUCAGAAUUGAGAUGGAUGGGAAGAAUUGGAAGGCCCGGGCUCGGGGUGGGGUGGUGGUGAAUGUACCACCCUAUCGGUAGCUCCCGCCGGCGGAUUGAGAGCAUCUUUAGAUCCUACAGCUCAGACGAGAUGCGCAAAUAGAGCUGAUUGGCAGGAGGAGGUUUACCAAAAGAUCAAGUCUAUGAAGGAGAUGUAUUUACCAAAACUCAAUGAUCUAUACCAGAAAGUUGCUUCUGAAGUGCAGCAGGUGUGUCAUCAGCGUUUUAUUCCCAUUGUUAUCAUUUCUGGAGGCAAUUCUACCAGCUGUGUGGUGCAUCAUUCUGGAUUUUCUAGAUUUUGAUAUAAUUGUAGAUGUGCAUAGUUCUAUUCACUCCCAACUUCAAUCCCAACUUGUCGAGGCUAUACAAAUCAUUUAUGUCCACUCAGUUAUAUUCAGGCGCAUUUCAUUCCAAUAGUAUAGACAAAUUACAGGUUCUCAAAAUUUCAAUAUAUCCCCACCAAGCAUACAAGUCUAACUGAAAUAAAGGAACUCCUGGGAAACAGCUAACCCAAUGUAACUGUUACAACAGCAAUCAAGCCUUAUUCCUGACUA